rnacentral:rRNA from 1 species
AUGGGAAUGUGUUGUUUUGCUCGGUGUAACACCAUCUACAAUGCUCGUGCCAACCUGCCAUCCAUUGUGCCCAAUAUUGAAACUCUUAGCAUAUCUUCUGUUAGUGAAGUCGUCAAUACACCAAUUGUGCCUGUCAAAUUCCUCCACCUCAAGUAUUUGUCUAUUUCUCUUGAAGCCGAACAUGGGGCUUUCCCCCCAGUCUACGAUUACUUUUCUCUGGUUUCUUUCCUGGAUGCUUGUCCUGUCUUGGAAACUUUCCACUUGGCCGUGUCGCAGACUCGCAUGAAACAUGAUUCGGUUUUUGGAGACCCGUCACAUCUUAGGCAGAGGCGGGAAUACCGCCAUGAGAACAUCAAGACUGUCAAGAUCUCUGGGUUUUGCUCUGCAAAGAGCAUGGUUGAGUUGACAUGUCAUAUUCUUGAGAAUGCAGCAUCACUAGAGUGCCUUACAUUGGACACGAUAGAUGAUGUUGACGAUAUUGGUAGGCACAUUCAUGAAACCGGUGAGUGUAACCCCAUAGGUAGGCAUAUGAUCAAAAAAGCCCGUGAAGCCUCUUGGCAAUUGAAAGGUAUAUUAUGGGAAAAGUUCCCUCCACAGUAA